AGAGUUUGAUCCUGGCUCAGGAUUAACGCUAGCGGCAGGCCUAAUACAUGCAAGUCGAACGGUAACAGGUCCAGCAAUGGAUGCUGACGAGUGGCGCACGGGUGCGUAACACGUAUGCAACCUACCUUUGACCGGGGAAUAGCCCCGAGAAAUCGGGAUUAAUACUCCAUAUUAUUACGGUGAGGCAUCUCAUGGUAAUGAAAGCUCCGGCAGUCUUAGAUGGGCAUGCGCGACAUUAGCUUGUUGGUGAGGUAACGGCUCACCAAGGCUACGAUGUCUAGGGGUUCUGAGAGGAUUCACCCCCACACUGGUACUGAGACACGGACCAGACUCCCACGGGAGGCAGCAGUAAGGAAUAUUGGGCAAUGGACGCAAGUCUGACCCAGCCAUGCCGCGUGCAGGAAGACAGCCCUACGGGUUGUAAACUGCUUUUAUACGGGAAAAAACUCCCGGUCGUGUACCGGGACUGAUGGUACCGUAAGAAUAAGCAUCGGCUAACUCCGUGCCAGCAGCCGCGGUAAUACGGAGGAUGCAAGCGUUAUCCGGAUUUAUUGGGUUUAAAGGGUGCGCAGGCGGAAUGAUAAGUCAGUGGUGAAAUCCUACAGCUUAACUGUAGAACUGCCAUUGAUACUGUCGUUCUUGAGUACACUUGAAGUGGGCGGAAUGUGUCAUGUAGCGGUGAAAUGCUUGGAUAUGACACAGAACACCAAUCGCGAAGGCAGCUCACUAAAGUGUCACUGACGCUCAGGCACGAAAGCGUGGGGAUCAAACAGGAUUAGAUACCCUGGUAGUCCACGCUGUAAACGAUGAUUACUCGAUGUUGGCGAUAUACUGUCAGCGUCUAAGCGAAAGCAUUAAGUAAUCCACCUGGGGAGUACGGCCGCAAGGUUGAAACUCAAAGGAAUUGACGG
rnacentral:rRNA from 1 species